UACAGAGGGGGCAAGCGUUGUUCGGAAUUACUGGGCGUAAAGGGCGCGUAGGCGGCCCGCUAAGUCGAACGUGAAAUCCCCGGGCUCAACCCGGGAACUGCGUCCGAUACUGGUGGGCUCGAAUCCGGGAGAGGGAUGCGGAAUUCCAGGUGUAGCGGUGAAAUGCGUAGAUAUCUGGAGGAACACCGGUGGCGAAGGCGGCAUCCUGGACUGGUCCUGACACUCAUGAGCGAAAGCGUGGGGAGCGAUCCGG
rnacentral:rRNA from 1 species